AGCGAACGCUGGCGGCAGGCCUAACACAUGCAAGUCGAACGAACCCUUCGGGGUUAGUGGCGGACGGGUGAGUAACACGUGGGAACGUGCCUUUAGGUUCGGAAUAACUCAGGGAAACUUGUGCUAAUACCGAAUGUGCCCUUCGGGGGAAAGAUUUAUCGCCUUUAUAGCGGCCCGCGUCUGAUUAGCUAGUUGGUGAGGUAAAGGCUCACCAAGGCUACGAUCAGUAGCUGGUCUGAGAGGAUGACCAGCCACAUUGGGACUGAGACACGGCCCAAACUCCUACGGGAGGCAGCAGUGGGGAAUCUUGCGCAAUGGGCGAAAGACUGACGCAGCCAUGCCGCGUGGAUGAUGAAGGUCUUAGGAGUGUAAAAUCCUUUCACCGGUGAAGAUAAUGACUGUAGCCGGAGAAGAAGCCCCGGCUAACUUCGUGCCAGCCGCCGCUGUAAAAC
rnacentral:rRNA from 1 species